rnacentral:lncRNA from 1 species
GAAGACUCGCUUUCCAUUUGCAUGAGUUAAUCCGCAGCACAACGCUAGCUUGCUUCCAUGAGAGAUGAGAGAGAGAAUAGUGGCGUGGCAUUCUUUUGCUGGUUAGAUGGGAGAUUCGUCUGUUAGCAUCAGGAGAACAUACCAUGUUACGUUCUGCCACAGUACUGAUGCACACUGUGCAUGGGAUUAGCUAGCUAGGUGAAC